CCUACGGGUGACUGCAGUGGGGAAUAUUGGGCAAUGGGCGCAAGCCUGACCCAGCAACGCCGCGUGAAGGAAGAAGGUUCUCGGGAUGUUAACCCCCUUUAAGCGGGGAGCGCAGAAGACGGUACUUCCUGAAUAAGCAACGGCUAACUACGUGCCAGCAGCCGCCGUCAUACGUAGGUGGCAAGCGUUGUCCGGACUUACUGGGUGUAACGGGCGUGCAGCCUGGAAGAUAAGUCGGUUGUGAAAUCCCGGGGCUCAACCGCGGAACGGCAUUUGAAACUGUCUGUCUUGAGUACCGGAGAGGGAAUCGGAAUUCCUGGGGUAGCGGUGAAAUGCGUAGAUAUAGGGAAGAACACCAGUGGCGAAGGCGGAUGACUGGACGGCAACUGACGGUGAGGCACGAAAGCGUGGGGAGCGAACAGGAUUAGAUACCCGUGUAGUC
rnacentral:rRNA from 1 species